rnacentral:rRNA from 1 species
UACGUAGGAUGCAAGCGUUGUCCGGAAUUAUUGGGCGUAAAGAGCGCGCAGGCGGUCUAUCAAGUCAGAUGUGAAAUAUCCAGGCUUAACCUGGAGGGGUCAUUUGAAACUGGUAGACUAGAGUACAGCAGAAGGAUAGUGGAAUUCCCGGUGUAGUGGUGAAAUGCGUAGAUAGUCGGGAGAACACCAGUGGCGAAGGCGACUAUCUGGGCCGGGUACUGACGCUGGAGGCACGAAAGGCGUGGGGAGCGAACGGGG